CCUCCCUGCGAUCGUCCCGAUCACAGACGGCCGCGGCAGGAUCUCACGUUCAUUAUCCGUCACAUCGGCUCUAAUGAGCGACGCUCGACUGCGGCCUAUUGGCAACGCGAUCUGUUGCUAAAUGGCGUGAUUUCGUGACUACGUCAUCGCGACGUGUCACCGACGACCUGCCAGUUCGAAACCUCGAGUUUUUGGCGUUUUGUUCAGCGCCAUCUUGGAAAUCAGAAGUGACCAUAUUUGGAAGAAGAAGGGGGCUCGUCCACCGCCACCUGCGUCUGUGCACCUAUUGGACGGUACCAGCUGUCAAUCACACGGUAGCGGUGACGUCAGAUAAACUAGGAGCAGCGGUAACAUCCACGGAUAGAAGAGGAAACAGUGAACUCACAUGUGUGCGUCUUCUUCACCGCCGCUGACGAACCUGCAACACACAAGACAACAGAUUCAGUCACAGUCUCCAGCUGAAGUUGAUAUUCCAGUUGUGAAGAGCUGUGACAAUCUGAGAUCGGAGUCAUGCGUCCUGUUGUGGUAACUGUCGUCCUGCUGGUGGUCCUGAUGUUCAUGACGGACUCUGCAGUCGCAGGAGAAAAAGAGAAGAAAAAUUGCCAGAACUAUUUCCCACUUGUACCAUGUGGUUCUGGAUGGUACCGGAUGGACGGAAGUCGCUGUAUGAAGAGAGCUCCGACCGCAGAAACGUUUGACGAUGCACAGAUGUUCUGCAAAAACAAAAGUGGUGAUUUGGUGUCAUUCAGGGGAAGAGACGACCUUAUCCAAAUGCUGUGUCUGUUGGUCAUGGAAAACAAUGACAAGGUUCCUCACUGGCUCGGAGCCAGAAAACAAGGGGGUGAAUUUCAGUGGGCUGAUGGACGUGGACCAUUGAUCUUCGGAGGCCAACACAACCUCCUGAAUGACCAGGCUGAGGACUGUGCAGCAAUCAACAUCGGUGGUCCCUGGAAAGGUACAUCAUGUUCAGCAACAAGGAACUUUGUGUGCCAAAAGACUAUGUGAUCGUCAUCUCCAGAUGAUGAACCAGCCUGCUUCACUGUAACCUCUGUGAAUGCAACCUUUAAUAUUGUUUGUAAUAAAUGUUCAGCAUCAGAAAACAUUUGAUUUGGUUUUUUUAUUUGUUUGUGUCCAGCAGAAUGACAGUUGUAGCCAUUGUACACGUACUGCAGACUGAGCCUGACAUACAGUAUAAUUACCUGAUUAGUUUCAUCUGGUUUCAUAGAUACAUACAGCUGGGUGUCGUCUGCAUAGCAAAGUAAAUCCAUGUGGUGCUUUCAGCUUUGGUUAGUUUUAUAAUGUCUCUAAUAACAGCAGGACAGAGACGACAGAACUGUGUUUAGUGUAGAUAUUGAUAAAGCAGAGGAACCAAGUCCUGCUGAAUUUAGGUAAAUUGUCAUUGUCUGUACUUUCUAUCCUGUUGUAAGAAACAGAGAUUUAACCGUGGUCCAUAAACUCUACACAUUCACCUAGCUG
rnacentral:lncRNA from 1 species